rnacentral:rRNA from 1 species
AUUGAACGCUGGCGGCAGGCCUAACACAUGCAAGUCGAGCGGAUGACGGGAGCUUGCUCCUUGAUUCAGCGGCGGACGGGUGCGUAAUGCCUAGGAAUCUGCCUGGUAGUGGGGGACAACGUUUCGAAACGACAGCUAAUACGGCAUACGUCCGCCGGGAGCAAGCAGGGGCACUGCGGGCCUUGCGCUAUCAGAUGAGCCUCGGCCGGGUUGGCUAGUUGGUGGGGUAAUGGCUCACCAAGGCGACGACCCGGAACUGGUCUGAGAGGAUGAUCAGUCACACUGGAACUGAGACACGGUCCAGACUCCUACGGGAGGCAGCAGUGGGGAAUAUUGGACAAUGGGCGAAAGCCUGAUCCAGCCAUGCCGCGUGUGUGAAGAAGGUCUUCGGAUUGUAAAGCACUUUAAGUUGGGAGGAAGGGCAGUAAGUUAAUACCUUGCUGUUUUGACGUUACCGACAGAAUAAGCACCGGCUAACUCUGUGCCAGCAGCCGCCGUAAGAC